CCGCCUGACAUCCCCCCCUGCUCCGGGGUGUCUGCAUAUCUCCUCCCACCUCCAAGCUGCAAGCUAUCUGCGGGCAGGCCCCAGGCAGCCUUAUUCUCAGAGACAUUAAAAUGAACCCACACAUCUCAUUAAAUCUAAUUCUUCUCUCACUCAUAGAGGGAGCUGAUACACUGGAGGGGGGGUAGGGAACAGUGCCGCCAGUCACAUCUUGGGCUCUGUUAUGUGAAUGAACAGAUUCGGGGAACCUGAGUCACCUGGGAACCACAAAGGAGCCCCCAGCCCCAAUGCUGUCCCCACAGGGAAUCUGAGACAUCGAGGACUAGAAGGGGCCUGUAUGUUUGGACUAUAUAAUGUUGAUGUGGUUGCAUUGAUAUAAGGCAUCUGUUUAGCACUUCUGGCUUAAAAAAAUUUUUUUCCUAUGAUUUUGACCUGACUGAUAAAAAGAAGUUACUCGGAUAUUGCUGUCUCUUCAAGUCCUGAUUGGGGUGAAACCCCUCUUUUUACAGCUAAGAAAGAGUACCUGGCAGGCCUGCUGUGACAGCGUCUCAGGGCGGUUCAGCUGAGAACAAUGCAAACAGGAAGGGAAUGUGGAGGGGCCGGAGGAAGUUUCCCCAGCUGCACAGGGACACUCCUGAUCCCGGGCUAAGUUUCGAGGCUGUGGUUCUGACCGAGGGACACACAGGUGGUGGUGGUGUUCUCUCAGCACAACAGGGGAAUGAGGACAGAAGGAAAAAAGCAUCUUUUGACCUAAUUUUAAAAUAUUCUUUUUUCUUCCCAGAGAACAGCUGGAGCCCUGAAACCCGGCCAAGCCAGAGCCGGAGACCUGAAGUCAGGAACCAGUGCGCCUACAAAACCCGGCUCCGGAUCUUCCUCUGAUUCAGUCUGAUUCACGACCCUCGGCCUCUGAUUGACAUCUGAGAUGCCCCCCAGUUUGCUGACGCCCCUGCUCCCCUCCACCAAGGGAAAACUCACUUUGCAUCAAUGGUCAGUGUUCUGAGGGAAAGAGCUGAAGUCCACUGCAGGCCUGGUGGGAAGGAGCCUGGCCAGGAGGUUUCACAGGCCUGUGUCACCUCCAGAGAAGGAGGCGAGAAUGGUAAUCUCAACCCAUGGAAGUCCUGUCAACCCCACAGCCCACAGCUAUGUCAAUUCUUGCAGGAGCUGCAUGAGGUCCCUUCACUCAGAAGCCUAUGGACGCGUUCAUGCCACCCUCGUAAUGGCAGGCCCGAGCAUGGCACCGGCCCAGCCCUCCCCGCCCCUCCCCGCACUGGCCUCUCCAGCUCUUCUUCCUCUGCCUCAGCUCUCCCUCCAUCCCUUCCCUCCAUUAAAGUUCUCGUAUAAUUGGUUCAAGUAAAUAAGCUUCCUGAAUGGGUUCACUGCAUCCCCUCAGAAUCCCAGGGCCAGGAAGGCCUCCAACUUCCUGUUGUGAGAAUUAGGUCAUUAAAUCAAUGGGGUCGCCUGCUGGGGAGAGGGCUCAGUUCCCCCAGAGGCAGCAGGCUGGCCGCUUCCUGGCCUCCAGAGCCCGCAGGUCCUUACCGCUCAGCUCUGGGGAUGACCGUCCUUGGGAUCUGGCCGGGAGGCUCGA
ensembl:lncRNA